rnacentral:tRNA from 1 species
UGAAGUAUAGCUUAAACUAAAGCAUUUCGCUUACACCGAAAUAAUGCCCAUUAAACCUGGGCUACUCCAAG